GCCUGGACUGUUGGUUUUUUAAUGCGUCCCAAGGGUUCCUGCCCAGGGAGGGCUGACGGGCUCCUAGGUUUGGUGCCAAGCCCUCUGGAAGCACCGUCUCAGUUAAUACUUAGGACAAUCCUGUUAAGUCCUCGCCAUUUCAUAGAGGAAGAACCCGAGCUCAGAGAGGAGAGAGUGCACAUUGCAGCUGACAGCGGCAGGGCAGGACCAGGCGGUCAGGCAGUGUGACCUGGGGGCUCAAUGCUUAUUCUCCUCACACCUUUCGAGAAGGCACAGGAAGGCAUCACAAUGUCGCAAUUUCUGCACAAUUAGUGCAAAGUCUCACCUGUGAGCUUGCCUGGGGCAACCAGGAGAGGCUGGGGGCUCCUUCUUCACCAGGCCCUGCUGCCUCUAUAUGAGUCUUCCUUGUAUUUUAGCCCUGUAGCUAAGUUUCCAGUUUGUGGGUUCCUAUACCACAUGUGCUGAGUUAAAAGAACAGGUGGGCAUCGGCGCAGUUCCUGCGUUAGCUGCGUGACUUUGAGGAGGCCCCGCUACCUUUCUGAGCCGCAUAGCCGCAUUUCCACUUGGGCGAAGCGGGAUGAGCCGGCCCCGGAGGCGGGGGGGAAGGAUUAUUUUAACUGGGGAGCAACGUAAAGAGUGCACCUGCAACACGGCUGCUGCUGAGUCAGUGCCCGCUCUGCCUUUCUCUUUGAGAGUAAGGCUUGCGUCUCGCCUGCUCUAGCGCCCCAGGUUUGAACGCAGUGGGCGCACAGGAGGAAACAUUGGUUCACGAAUACAAUGCCAGCAAAGUAAAAUUUUUCAUCCAUGUCCUUUUUUCGGGGUAUUUCAAGCGGAGGAGCCCUGAGUGAAGAAGAUUCUGCUUCCCUGAGUUCAGGUUCUGGCAGUGAUGGACGGGGAAAAACGAGCCGCGGCGCGGGUCCCUGGCGGUCGCUGGAACGCUUGUGAGUGAGGUUGGUACCUGCGAGGGCACAGCGGGGCCUCGGGAAGUCGCAGCCGCCGGCAGAGGGCGCCCUGGGCACACGGAGCGCGCGGCGCUCGGGUUGGGGCGCUGGGUAGGUGCGGGGCACCGGCUGCAGUCCGGCGUUGACCGCAGCCGGGACCCGCCCGCCACCUGGGCGGAGAAGGAGAUCCGUGGCGCAGCGGCGCGCGCUGGCCCGGAUCGCGGCUGCGCCGCGCCCUCCCUGCGAGCGGCGUUUGGAGAGCUGCUGAGGAGCCAGCGGCUUGGAGGAGCGAGAAGACAUGUAUUUUCAGCUGUGUCUCAGAAGGGGAGAAUUUCCUGUCAUCACCAGAGAAGCAACAGCCCCGAAAUGUGAUUGCAACUGACUAACAGAGCAGAGGCCCAGGAGUCAUUGGAUUGAUGAUUUAGAACAUGCUAAAAAGCCAACGCUUUAUUUGGGGGAAUUCAGGGGCUUACUGGUGCCCAGGACAGUGACCUGCAGCAAGGGAGUCAGAAGACAAAUGUAGAGAUCAAGAGUGACAGUCCUCAGGAUUGACUUGGAUUGCCACUAAAGCAGUCCUCUGAUGGAAUGUUGGUGAGGUCCUCUGCCAGGGAAGCAAUAGGGCUGUGCAAGGGGCUACCUGGUGGGGAGGACUCCUGGAAAUCUGACUGACCCCUGUUCCCUGCUUAGGAACUUGAGGGGUGUCAGAGCCCCUG
ensembl:lncRNA